rnacentral:lncRNA from 1 species
UCUUUUAAUAACUAACUGGGCUGGUCAAGGUCAAUGGAUUCAUCAUUUAACAGCCAUCCUCUUGGCCGAGAGACCUUAGCUGGCCUGGUCUUUGGAAUGGUGGCUCAGCCUAUUGCCAGGAGGGUGCUAAAGUCUUUUCCUCAGAGUAGGAUCUGAGUUUCUUCUCCUCUUUCAUAACCUGAAAAUCUGAAGUCACAGCAGAAGCCAUGAUGGGGUGUCAGAGCCUCAUCAUGGUAGAGGACAAUAAAAUCGCCAAGCUCUGUCGCGAGUGCAUUGGAGUGGUCAGGGUGGAUGGAAAGUCAGGAAGCUCUGCUCCCAGACACCUCCUGACCCGGGCCAGCCACUACGCUCGAGGCGACUCCCUCAGAUUAGAAGCUACACAGAAGGUGCCGAUCUGCACGAGUGGCAGUUUUCUCCCCUGGGAGCUCCUCCGGCCAGUGAAAUCACAGGAUGUGGUUGGCCAUGGCUCUUGGUCUUUUUCCUGCUUCAGAGCCUGGUGUCAGAAGUUCUCCCCAAGGAAUACAUUUUGCCAUCCUUCCUGCCAAUCAGAAAGGGGAAAGGGGGAAAAACAGCUGGCCUAGGAUCCCGGCCCCCGCCUGAAGUCACAUCCUCUCCAAUGGCAUGUUUUGAUAUUUGCUUCAACUGCCCCUCCCUCUAGUUUUACACUCCGGCCCUUUCUUCCUCCUAUCGCGUUUCCCCAGCCAGUUUCCUUGAAUCAUCUCUGGCAACUGCUUAUAUCUGUGCUUCCCCACCAGGUGCCCAUCCUCUGAUCAGGAAGCGACCCACUUGCCAGUCAACUUUGUCCCACACCCACCUUCUCCCAGUUCCACCCUGUCCUCAAGGGUGGGGACCCCCUCCUCCUCCCUGAGACAUUGAGGGCAGAGAAAAGAGGUGGAGCUGCUUGAAUCCUCAUCCAAAGACUUAUUAAAAGCUUGCAUCUCUGUCUGUUUCAUUGUCACCCCCUCUAGUCUCUCCGUUUCCUUCCAACAGAGAAGUGGGUCCAUUCUUGG